rnacentral:rRNA from 1 species
UACGUAGGGCGCAAGCGUUAAUCGGAAUUACUGGGCGUAAAGCGUGCGCAGGCGGUUUUGUAAGACUGUCGUGAAAUCCCCGGGCUCAACCUGGGAAUGGCGAUGGUGACUGCAAGGCUAGAGUUUGGCAGAGGGGGGUAGAAUUCCACGUGUAGCAGUGAAAUGCGUAGAUAUGUGGAGGAACACCGAUGGCGAAGGCAGCCCCCUGGGUCAAAACUGACGCUCAUGCACGAAAGCGUGGGGAGCAAACAGG